rnacentral:rRNA from 1 species
GACGAACGCUGGCGGCGUGCUUAACACAUGCAAGUCGAACGGAAAGGCCCUGCUUUUGUGGGGUGCUCGAGUGGCGAACGGGUGAGUAACACGUGAGUAACCUGCCCUUGACUUUGGGAUGACUUCAGGAAACUGGGGCUACUACCGGAUAGGAGCUCCUGCUGCAUGGUGGGGGUUGGAAAGUUUCGGCGGUUGGGGAUGGACUCGCGGCUUAUCAGCUUGUUGGUGGGGUAGUGGCUUACCAAGGCUUUGACGGGUAGCCGGCCUGAGAGGGUGACCGGCCACAUUGGGCCUGAGAUACGGCCCAGACUCCUACGGGAGGCAGCAGUGGGGAAUAUUGCACAAUGGGCGGAAGCCUGAUGCAGCAACGCCGCGUGCGGGAUGACGGCCUUCGGGUUGUAAACCGCUUUCGCCUGUGACGAAGCGUGAGUGACGGUAAUGGGUAAAGAAGCACCGGCUAACUACGUG